CAAUAUGAGAUCGUCUUCGAGGUCAAUUUCAUUAAUAAAAGCAAGAAACCUCCAAUCACUACUAGAAAACAGGCCAAAGGGCACCGAGCUGGGCACACCAAUAUGGGUUGGUGUCUUUUACAUGAUGGUUUGACACCAUUGAGAUUAUCGGUGUAUUGGUACGAAAAUAUCACCGACCAUCAGUGCCAAUAUUAUGCUUUUUCAAUAUAAUACUUUAGUUUUGAUACAAUUUCGAUAUAAUAAUUAGUAAUAAAUGGAUGAUUGACAUACGUGACACACUUUCUGUUGCAAGUAUUUACCAUUUCAACCCCAAUGUCAGCCAGAAGGAUUGAAUUUGAUGCGGGUGCGUGGGUCUUUGGAAAGAGCUUUGAAAACUCAAAUAAUUGCUUCUCUUCCCCUUCCUCAUCGUCUCCAUUUCUUCCUCGAUCUGAAAUGAUCUAUGUAUACCGGAUCCACUAUCACGUUAGAGAUGCUUGUGACACCGCCUACACCAAUGGCUCGAGGGUGAGCCGAUCUACAAAACCCAUAUGGUCGUGUCACUUCUUGGAAGGUUCCUUACCUCCAUUCAUCCCACACGCCACCACUAUCAGGAUCCUAUUGUCUUGAUGUCUUUCUCCAUGCCUUCACAGCGUUCUCUGUUUUAUGCUAAUUUCUUUGUGGUGAAUUUACAGGCAUAGUCUAGUAAAAUUACCCAGGAACCGCCGUUUGAAGCCACUGCCUCAAAAGUUUUAUGUCUCAUAGUUGAAAGAGAUUUGCCUUCUAUUGUUGUUCAUGUGACCGGUGCCUUAGUUUACAGUUCAACUCUUACUGAAAGAGUGUUCAUUCUGGUUGAAGGCUUUAGAAUGUGUACGAAAUGCUUCUGAUGGUACCUUGGUGCAUUCUUUGACUGAUCACAAUGAAUCUGUACCAAUUCACUUCUCAUUUGCUUUGAAUGGUUGCACUUGCAGGCGGACUUAAAAAGCUGGACUUCAAAUGUUGGACAGAGCUAAAGACCAAAGAGCAUCACCACUAAGCGCAAAGUGCUAGUACUCUAUGACUUAUGAUUUAAUUUCAAAUGUUUAGUAUACUCAGGACCAUUAAAUGUAUCUGACUGUCUAAUUUUUUAUUAUCAGUAGUGUGUAUUACCAUGUAUA